CCUGUUCCUCCUGAAGGCGUAUGAUCUGACCGGCAGAAGCUCAUGCCUUGCAAUAUGUUCGUCCAGCUUUAACUUUAUCAGCCCCUCUAUAGACUUAAACAGGGUGUUUAUUAAGCAAAUGGGUCUGUAGUUUUGGAAGGAAGCGGGGUCCGCAUUCUUCUUGGGGAUUGGUACCACCUUGAUUCUACGCCAGACCUCUGGGAUGUUGCCACUGAGCCAUACCCUGUUUAUAAUUUCAAAGAUGUUAUGCUUUUUCGCCACAGGAAGUUGCUGCAGCAUCCUGAACGAAAUGCCAUCUGGGCCUCUCGCCGAAUUUGGGUUCCUGGAUUUCAGGAAGGACAGAAAUUCCCCCAUGUCCAAAGGUUCGGGGUCGCCUGGUCCAAUCAGAUUUGGAAUGAUCUCUGGGGGUCUACUGCUUGCAGUCGAGGGGAUGUCUUUGACCAUUUUUAGGAAGCCAUUGUCGUUUUCGUCUGUCCAUGUGUUCCCUACGUUUUUGACUUGUCCGUAUUUCUUAAGGUUCUUUACUCUGCUCCACAUGGAGGGCGAAGAGGAAACCUCUUCUAGGAACUUUGAGAAGUUUGACCUUCUGCAUUUUUUAAUCUCAUUUUGCAGGUUGCGGUCGGCCUCUAUGGUGGCCCUGGCAUCAUCAAAUUUUUUGGUGUAAUAGUAUUUUUGCCUGCACGCAUUUCUCACGCGAAACAGUCUCUCUAUACCCUCGUUCCACCAUUUUUUGGCAAUAUACUUGUUGUUGCUAGGAAUGGUAACUGUGUUCUUACUGGUCAGGGAUUUGACCUUAUCGUUGAGCUCUUGUAGAUUGGUAAAACUGCUUGCUCCUAAAAUACGAUUUAUUCUAUUGUGCAGCACUUUCUUCUCUUGAAUGGAGGCAUCUAACCCUUCGACUGUUAUGACGAUUGGGAAGUGGUUGCUGUUGGUUAUCUUGGAUUUAAGGGCUUGCCAGUCGAUUCUACCGACCCUGUGAUUAGAAAAGGUGAGGUCAAGAACAGAGGAUUGGGAAGGGUUCCUGGAAAACGUUGGAGAUCCGUCGUUAAGACAGAUAAAACCCGCCUCACGAGUAGCAUUCUCGAUGCUGCGACCCUUGCGGUCACUGGAAGGGUUUCCCCAGAUGGAAGACUUGGCGUUGAAAUCGCCUCCUACGACUGAAGGGUAGUCUAGGGACUCCGCAAGCUCGAACACCUUUUUAAUGCCCGAUUUGAAUUGGGAAAGUGUCGUUGAAGGCGCAGCGUAUGCGCUGAAAAUGUUAAGGUUGCUUUUGAGGUUCAGGGUUUUAAUACCUACGAUCUCUAGAUCACAGUCUAUUUUCAGAAUGCUAAAUCUAAUUUUCUUUCUAAUAUAGAUUCCUACUCCGCCGUAGCCGUCUUCUCUGGGCUUGCCGAUGAAGUUGUAAUCUAAGAUACUGCAGUCGGCAUUAUUUACAACCCAGAUCUCCGAAAGGAUUGCAAUGUCUAUUUCGUUGUUUAUUAGAAACAUAUUGAGGAGCUGUUUGUUGUUGUUGUAAGUCAGACUUUGAAUGUUCCGCUUCCACCCCUUGCACAAUUUGCAAACGGUCGAGUUCAGCAUUGGAGGAGCUAACAUACUCCAAGAUCUG
rnacentral:lncRNA from 1 species